rnacentral:rRNA from 1 species
GUUUCGAAUUAUUCACAAUGGGCGAAAGCCUGAUGGUGCGACGCCGCGUGAGGGAUGAAGGUCUUCGGAUUGUAAACCUCUGUCACUGGGGAAGAACCGUCGUGUGUAAACAGCGCACGGCCUGACUUAACCCGGAGAGGAAGCAGUGGCUAACUCUGUGCCAGCAGCCGCGGUAAUACAGAGACUGCGAGCGUUAUUCGGAUUCACUGGGCGUAAAGGGUGCGUAGGCGGCCGCAUGUGUCAGGUGUGAAAGCCUGGGGCUUAACCCCAGAACUGCGCCUGAAACUGUGCGGCUAGAGUGCCGGAGAGGAUAGCGGAAUUCACGGUGUAGCAGUGAAAUGCGUAGAUAUCGUGAAGAACACCAGCGGCGAAGGCGGCUAUCUGGAAGGCAACUGACGCUCAAGCACGAAAGCGUGGGGAGCAAAAGGGAUUAGAUACCCUUGUAGUCC